UGGGGAAUUUUGGACAAUGGGCGAAAGCCUGAUCCAGCAAUGCCGCGUGUGUGAAGAAGGCCUUCGGGUUGUAAAGCACUUUUGUCCGGAAGGAAAUGGCUCUGGUUAAUACCUGGGGUCGAUGACGGUACCGGAAGAAUAAGGACCGGCUAACUACGUGCCAGCAGCCGCGGUAAUACGUAGGGUCCAAGCGUUAAUCGGAAUUACUGGGCGUAAAGCGUGCGCAGGCGGUUGUGCAAGACCGAUGUGAAAUCCCCGAGCUUAACUUGGGAAUUGCAUUGGUGACUGCACGGCUAGAGUGUGUCAGAGGGGGGUAGAAUUCCACGUGUAGCAGUGAAAUGCGUAGAGAUGUGGAGGAAUACCGAUGGCGAAGGCAGCCCCCUGGGAUAACACUGACGCUCAUGCACGAAAGCGUGGGGAGCAAACAGGAUUAGAUACCCUGGUAGUCCACGCCCUAAACGAUGUCAACUAGUUGUUGGGGAUUCAUUUCCUUAGUAACGUAGCUAACGCGUGAAGUUGACCGCCUGGGGAGUACGGUCGC
rnacentral:rRNA from 1 species